rnacentral:rRNA from 1 species
AUACGUAGGUGGCAAGCGUUGUCCGGAUUUAUUGGGCGUAAAGCGAGCGCAGGCGGUUUCUUAAGUCUGAUGUGAAAGCCCCCGGCUCAACCGGGGAGGGUCAUUGGAAACUGGGAGACUUGAGUGCAGAAGAGGAGAGUGGAAUUCCAUGUGCAGGGGUGAAAUGCGUAGAUAUAUGGAGGAACACCAGUGGCGAAGGCGACUCUCUGGUCUGUAACUGACGCUGAGGCUCGAAAGCGUGGGGAGCAAACAGGAUUAGAUACCCUGGUAGUCCACGCCGUAAACGAUGAGUGCUAAGUGUUGGAGGGUUUCCGCCCUUCAGUGCUGCAGCUAACGCAUUAAGCACUCCGCCUGGGGAGUACGACCGCAAGGUUGAAACUCAAAGGAAUUGACGGGG